GCCUGCGCUGCGAACCCAUUGCCCACCCCGCCGGCAGCGCAGUGGUAACGGCCGUGGGCACUGACAGGGGAGGCGGCGGGACAGCGCUGGCAGCCCCGGGCGCGGGGGCUUCGGCCCUCGGGAGGGGGCUGCUGCGCUGCCGCGGCGGAUCCUUGCCACUGCCGCCGAGCCCUGCCGCCGUCCCCUCCUCUUUCAGCUGCCGGAGCCCUGUCAGAGCGGAGCCGGUGUUCCCGCGCCGGCCGAGAGCUCCAGGCCCGGCGGAGGAGCCCUGCCGCAAGCGGAAGCCCAGGUGCAAUACAGCAUCAAAAUUCAAUUGGCAAUCCAUGUCGCUUACAAGCAUUGGAAGAUUCUAUUACGAAGAUGACUACUUGGGCUAAGUGCUACAUGUGAGAACGAUGCAGCAGCAGCGCCGUGGUCUGUGUUCACCCUGCUCAGUUGAGAAACUAGAUCUACAAGUGAUAAAAUGCUGAAAGUGCUUAGCAGUGGGAGGAAUACAUAGUUUGCCUGUGUUGUUAUUCACCUCUCUAUUCCUCUUUUAUUUGGUGGAGGGAAGUAAUAAAAACGGAGAAUAACAACUCAAAAUAUUGAGAAGCUUAUAACCUGAGUCAGUUCUGCAUCGAAAUGAGAUUGUGUUGCUGGUAACGUUGCACUGAGGGCUGAGAUUUAGGAAGGUGGGAGGACGGGGGCUGUAGCUCUGCCUCCUCUGCUGCCAGUGCUGCUCCUGUCACAUGAUGUGACUGCACAGUCCUCUGCUCGCACUGCAGCUGCACUCGCCCUGGCAUGUGCCAGCCAGAUUUCGCCUCUUUUUGCAUCACUUGUGUGCUGGUUUAGCUCUGUUGGCUUUAAAUGGAGUUGCUGAUAAACUGCUGCGGUAUAAAUGGAUAAUGGGAAUUCAUUUGAUCCUCUGGACACCUUGAUUUGUUGGUUUGUCUUUCAUUCUGUGUGGUGGCAAGGAAGGAAGAGUUCUGGUGUGAAAGUCUGUUCUGAGGGGAUGCCUAAAUAGCUAAAAUUGAACUGUAUUUUAAAGAAAUUCCCCCAACAUCCCUUUCCCAGCCCCCUAAAGCAUGCUACAGCCAUCAGAGUCUUAUCACAGAAAUCUCUGUCUUGAUGUCUUUUUUUGCAGAACUUUUCAUAGCUUUUUUCCAUCUAAAUGUUCAGUUGAAGCAAUCUUUGUAGAAGGAAAACCAGGACCUGUACAUGCAAGCGGUAUAAUAAUUUUCUUUGGUAUUCUUGCAUAAGAACGUUCUGCAGGCUUGGCUUUUGUAGCUGGGCUGCUGUCUUUAAGCACAUAAGCUCUGUUCUGGAUGUGUCGUUUUUAAACAGGCUAGAAAUGGAGGUAUGGAAUGGGGUACGUGUUGCAGCAGAAGGAAACAGUUUAAAGGAGCAGACCAAAUUGUGUGUGGGAGCUGCAUGGCGGGUCAAAUAGAGGUCUGUUUCUAUAAAGUAUGUAAGUUAGUUGCCAACACAAAUAUUACCUAGCAGUUUACAUGUGCUGAGAGAACACAGUACAGCCCUGCAACAGGAAUAGAAUAGAAGAACCAUCAAUCUGGUUCCCUGAGGAUGUCAGUCAAGAAAGGAAGUGAGCGGUGCCAAAAAGCCUAGAUGGAACAGCAGGUUUAGAGGACUCGUCGUUUGAAGUAUUUUUAAUUAUUGCUAUUAUUAUAAUGGAACACAGACUAGAGGCUGAAUUUUUAAAAUAUAAUUAAAGCAGAAGUCAGCAGAGGGAUUUCUCUGCUGUGUGGCUGAGGAAUGGUCCAGGAGCAGCUCCUGCUGAGGAGGGUGAAUUCCCAGAGUGGUGAUGCUCUCCGUGCAAUUCCUGAGCUUGCUCGCAACUUGCUGCCAAACACAGUUUGGAGGGAAGAAGUGAACUGAACAGAUCAAAAAGCUUUCCCGUGUACUGCAUUCUCUUUUGUCAGGGUAAGGCUCCAGUUGGAAAGCAGCCACUGAUACCUUGGCUGAGAGUGCUGACAAGAUGCAGAGUGUGAGGAUAACUGCCCUCCGGAUCGGACGCUGGCCUGAGCUGCCAUUUGGGCCAUCGAGUAAAUCAUUUGACUUGCCAGAAAGAACUCUUUCCGUCACAUUAACAUCAAGCUACUUCAUACAGCAACCGUUCAGUUCUUAAUUAAUGAGUGUGCACCAAGGAGUUAAAACAUCAGUCAUUUUCUGAGUAAAGAAAGGAAAAAAAAAAAAUUAAUCUUGUAACUCUGAUGCUUUUCAGGAAUUUGGCCGCUCUAGAUGCGAGAGGCAUGUGCUUUUCCGCCCUGCUUUAGGUGAUGGCUUAGUUCAAGGGGGCCCAGAUUUGGCUCAGUCAACAGUUGUGUUGGCGUCUUGCCAUUAAAUGUGCAUAAAAUGGAGCUGACUGCAAUUCCCUCCUCACUCUAACAUGGAGGGGCAGCCCCGGGAGACCUGAGGCCCCGGUAUGCCUUGCUGUAGGUUGACUUGGCUACGAGAGGUGUACUGGGAGGUGCAAUCCCUGCAGCAUAAGCUGCUGUGUUGUGACUUGAUUGUUGCUUUUGAGUCCCUGGGUUGUAUUUUGGUGUCUUGUCAUAACUAAUGCAUUUCAACCCUUGUUGUGCCUGUGCUUCCAAAACCUUUCUCCAUUCUCACAGCGGCUUACGUGCUUUUCCAGAUGUACAAGGUUUGUAUCUCAUUUGCAGACUCUUCCUAUGACUUCAUGGCUUAUGUGCAUUGCCACAAAAUGAAGAUAAAAUACAACUGGCAUUUUAGCUGCUCCAAGAACAUUGUGUGUAAAUAAACCACUAAAUAGUUUAGCUUGUGAAAUGUAAAUACACAGAGCUCGGCCUGCCGCAGCGGAUGGUGUUUUUCUAUCUCCCUUCUUCCCCUCCCACCUCUGCCAAGAGUAGGCUAGCCUGAUGUUCUUUUUUCUAUUGCUCUUUCAUACAAUGCAAAUGACUACUGAGUACCAUGUAGGUGGCAUGCAGGCACCACUACAGAUUCAUGAUUUGAAUUUGGAUGAAAGGAAACACUUGCAUCCUCUUCCACAUUGCUUCUGAACCAUCUUCUGUGAAUUCCUGGACUCUGACGACCCAGAAAUUCUGCCUCGGUCUGACUUUGAGCUUGAGCUCAUUUUUAGUAGCACGCUAGUUAAGUCGGUAGAAGAGCAGAGGCCCAACUGUGAUGACAUUUUUAGCCUUUGCCCUUUGUUCAUCCUAUACACAAAAGGUCAUGAACUGCAGUGAAAGAGGGAUCACAGAGGGCGCAGAACGGACAAAGGUGGAACAAAUUGCCAGUGGCAGAAACAUAAAGAAGAGAAGCAAAAGUUUUGUAUUAUGAAGGUAAUUGAAAAAGGCCACGUGCAUCCCAUGGUGAUAACCAUGUCUCUCGUAUUUAAAGUGAGUCUGCCCAUAGUGAAUUUAGAAGAGUCUGUUGGUGAGGUGUGGCUUGGAUGAUCGCAAUGUAGAAGGCAGAAGGGACAACACUGUUUCCAUGGUAUGAUGUUAAUGAGCAGCUCUGCGUUGUGCUGGGAGAAAAGAUGCUAAAGCUGCAGCUCUGCAUACAGACAGGUGUGCUUUAACCAAUAAAAGGGUUUUUAAAGAUGUAUAAUACAAAUGAAAAGCCUGAUUCUAUAGACCAAGCACUUAUCUGAAGCUAAAAUAGUAGGAUUGACACUCCAUCCUGGAUAUUCAAGCUCAUUUGACUUGGAAUGCGGUUGAAUUUGUGGUGUACGCUGUUUCCCUAUAGCAAGUCUUGAGGCUGUUCCUGCUGAGAUGUCAAAGGUAAUGCAGAGGUGGCAGCUCAUGGUAACUCUGAGGUCUAAAUAUAAGACAGUGUUUGCAAAACUUCUGGUCU
ensembl:lncRNA